GUUAAAGCUAUAGUUAUAUUAGGAGACCAAUACUAAGCUGUCGGUCUUUAUAAACAUCAAUUAAUAUUAAAAGUUACAAAAAACAACUUAUUUUUAAAUAUUGCUAAUGGCAAUAAUGAAUUUAUAACACCCGUUAAAUGCUAUGAUGAUGCAUUAUUAGAUAAAAAUCUAAUUUUAGCAGAGAAUAAAAAUACAUCAGGUAUUUAUCACUGAGUUAAUAAAUUAAAUAAUAAUACUUAUGUAGGUAGUGGUUUAGAUUUGUCAAAAAGAAUUGGAGAUUAUUAUAAAAAAAGUGAAUUAAAGAGAAAUAAUAGACCUAUACAUGCUGCUUUAUUAAAAUAUGGAUACGAAAAUUUUAAAUUAGAAAUUUUAGAAUAUUGCAAAGCAGAUGAGCUAAUUGAAAGAGAACAGUAUUAUUUAGAUUUAAUCAAGCCUGAAUAUAAUAUUUUAACAAAGGCUUAUUCUUUAUUUGGUUAUAAACAUACUCCAGAAAAUAUUGCUAAAUUUAAGUUAAAAAAGAUAUCACAAGAGCAUAAAGAUAUAUUAUCUUUAACUCAUUUAGGAAAGGUUGUUAGUCAAGAGACAAAAGAUAAAUUAUCUCUUGCUACAGCUAACUAUAAAAAAGAUAAUCCUCUUUCACCAGAAGCUUUAGCAAAUAUAAAAGCUAAAACUACAGAACGUGAAGGAGUAGCAGUAUCAGUGUUAAAUACUCAAACAAAUGAGGUAAUAAAUUUUGAUACUUUAACUAAAGCAGGUGAAUAUUUAGGAGUAAAAAGACAAGCUAUACGAAACGCAAUAAAAAGAGAAAGUCUUGUUAAAGGACUAUAUCGUGUUUCAGAGAAUUAAUAGGCAGCUAUACACAUAAAUGUACUAUAUUUAAAAUAAAAUUACUUUAGCUUCCCCUACAAAGUAGGCCUCGAUACAGGACAUGAGUCCUGGGCGGGGGGCAAAAUGAAGCCAGGACUAUUAGCAAAUUAAAUAUGCGAUGUAGCCUGUUGUCUAAAUGGAUGGUUCAAGGCGCAAGCUCUUGAACUGUUUAGGGAGAAAGAUCUUAACUUAAUUGGUACUAAGUAAGAUCCUCUGUGUAUGUCAAAAGGGAAACAGCCCAGAACAAGAAUUAAGGUUCCAAAAUAAUUGUUAAGUGAAAUUAAGAAAGUUUCUAUAUAAGUCGACAAGGAGAUGGGCUUAGAAGCAGCCAUAAUUUAAAGAUCUCGUAACAGAGCACUUGUUAAAUCUUAGAAGCAUCGAAAAUUUAACGGAUCUAAACAAUUUACCGAAAUCUUGUCCAUUGUUAACAGUUCUAGUAUAAACGAUAGAAUUGUGAUUAAAUGGGGUAGCAGAACGUUGAGUAAAUAGAAGAUUUAUUUUUUAUAAAAAUAAUUAAAGGAGUUCAUUAAAUUCAAUACUAUAACUCAAGUGAUAAUGGUGACAUGAGUAACUAUAAAGAGACUGUAGAUGAUAUUUACAGUCUCUCGCCUUAAGCUUAUGGUUAUGUUAAGUAACGGCCUCUAAGUUUUUUAACCUGAAGGUUAGAACGAUGAGAAAAUCUUAUUACUAUUUAAGGACAACAUUUAUUAAGUGAUAAAUGUGCGGGAAAAAAUUAGUAAUCUUCAUUAAUAUAAUGGUUUUACUAUUAAUAUUAAUGAAUACAACCGUACCUAGAAACUGCAACAAGUAAGCUAGUGUAGAAUACGAAGGCGUGAAUGAGAUAACAAUCAUAAAGGAACUCGGCAAAUUGGCUCCGUAACUUCGGGAUAAGGAGAGCUCGUUAGUCUCGAUUAAUAUUGAGUAAAAAUGAAGAAGCAUAAAAUAAUGUUGUACGACUGUUUAAUUAAAACAAAGCACUUUGCAGAAAGAUGAUAAAUCUAAGUAUUGAGUGUGAUUUCUGCCCGAUGUCGGCAGGCUAACGGAUUUUCUAAGCUAGUGUAGCUUGGUUUUGAAGGAACCCCCGAUUAAUGGCGGCCUUAACGUGAGGGUCCUAAGGUAGCGAAAUACCUUGGCCGUUAAAUGCGGUCUUGCAUGAAUGAUGUAACGAUACAACAGCUGUCUCUAUGAUUGACUCAGUGAAAUUGGAAUAGCAGUGUUUAUGUGCGAUUAUGAAUAAAUAAUCUCGCUGCGUAAGUGAAAAUCUUACUCUGUAAGCUUACUAUUGUAAGAAUCUUUUUAUAAUACCCAUAAACCAAAACUUCAUAAAACUUUUAUGAGGCUUAAUUAUUAAAACUAAGCUAGGUUAAUCCUAUGCUUAUAAAACUAGUAUUCGCUAGUAUAAAAAUGAAGCUAAUUAUAGUAACACUUUUAUUUUAAUAGAUUUACAUUAAAGGAGAGUUAUAGCGUAAAGCUUGGAAGUUAUACUAUAGCAGUCAUAUCAAAUGAAAGAGUGAACGUACAUGGCCUCAGGGAGAUAACUCGAUGAGGGGACGAAACGCUUGCGACCUUGGACAAAUGAAAUAGACUGGAUUUAAGUAGCAUAAUACUGAAACUUAUUGAAAGCCUCAACUGGUAGUAAAAUCCUGGCCCGUAAGGAGGAAGGGAAGUUGACCUAAGUGUGCAGGUAUAGAAGGAUCUUAAUUUAAAUUUGUUUGGUAAAGGAGGUCUGUAGUUAAGCUGGUUUAGUAAGUCUUUAAUUAAAGAUGGAUAUCCUAAGGUUGUCGAACCCGACAUAAAACUCGGCCGAGUGGUACUAGCUCGUAAGAAGUAGCGCCUAUUUAUAAAUAUAAAAUAAUGAUGAUGAUGAUAAAAAAUAAAAACAAUUUGUUGCACCUUUCUGGGAGUAUGUUUGAUUUUAAUGCGUGAUUCGUAGGAUUUUCCGAUGGAGAGUCUAAUUUUAGUAUAGUUCCUAAGCAAGGUAUUAACGGAAAUGUUAAUAGAUUUGCUUUUAUGUU
rnacentral:rRNA from 1 species